GACGAACGCUGGCGGCGUGCUUAACACAUGCAAGUCGAACGGAAAGGCCCUGCUUUUGCGGGGCGCUCGAGUGGCGAACGGGUGUGUAACACGUGUGUAACCUCUCCUUGUCUUUGGGAUAACUUCAGGAAACUGGGGCUCAUAUCGGAUAGGAGCUCCUGCUGCACGGUGGGGGUUGGAAAGUUUCGGCGGUUGGGGAUGGACUCGCGGCUUAUCAGCUUGUUGGUGGGGUAGUGGCUUACCAAGUCUUUGAAGGAUAGCCGGCCUGAGAGGUGGAACGGCCACAAUGGGACUAAGAGACGGCCCAGACGCCUACGGGAGGCAGCAGUGGGAAAUAUUGCACAAUGGGCGGAAGCCAGAGACAGCAACGCCGCGUGCGGGAUGACGGCUUUCGAGGUGUAAACAGCUGUCGCCUGUGACGAAGCGUGAGUGACGGUAAUGGGUAAAGAAGCAACGGCUAACUACGUG
rnacentral:rRNA from 1 species